UCAGGAAGGUUCAGACUCGAUUAACUUCCCAGCUGCUGGGUGUCUCGUCCAUCAUCACAUUGAAGAUAGUUGGUCAGCCAGAGAGACAAAAGAGAGGGAGAUCUGCAGCCUUCAAUAAAUCCUGCAGUGAGAUGGCAAUGGUAAUGACUGCGGAUGGUGCUAACUGAGGAAAUGUCAAUGUAUUCAUACCUGCUGCUGAGUGUCGGUGGUGGAGUGAGGGAGUCGUUGCGGAUGUGGACCUUUUGAUAGUGGAAUCACUGACAUCUGUCCAUUACUUGCUGCUGGUGCUGUCAGAAUACAAGUCGUCCCGCUUUGCAGCAGAAAGCAUUGAAAGCAAUUGAAGUGAACAAUAAUUGAAUUACCAG